CCCCUUGACAUGCCACUAACGAAGCAGAGAUGCAUCAGGUGCCCGAAAGGGAAAGUGGACACAGGUGCUGCAUGGCUGUCGUCAGCUUGUGUCGUGAGAUGUUGGGUUAAGUCCCGCAACGAGCGCAACCCUUAUCUUUAGUUGCUACGCAAGGGCACUCUAGAGAGACUGCCGGUGACAAACCGGAGGAAGGUGGGGAUGACGUCAAGUCCUCAUGGCCCUUAUGGGUAGGGCUUCACACGUCAUACAAUGGUGCGUACAGAGGGUUGCCAACCCGCGAGGGGGAGCUAAUCCCAGAAAACGCAUCGUAGUCCGGAUCGUAGUCUGCAACUCGACUACGUGAAGCUGGAAUCGCUAGUAAUCGCGGAUCAGCAUGCCGCGGUGAAUACGUUCCCGGGUCUUGUACACACCGCCCGUCACACCAUGGGAGUGGGUUUUGCCAGAAGUAGUUAGCCUAACCGCAAGGAGGGCGAUUACCACGGCAGGGUUCAUGACUGGGGUGAAGUCGUAACAAGGUAGGCGUAGCGAG
rnacentral:rRNA from 1 species